CUACGGGGUGCAGCAGUGGGGAAUAUUGGACAAUGGGGGAAACCCUGAUCCGGCAAUGCCGCGUGUGUGAAGAAGGCCUGCGGGUUGUAAAGCACUUUCGGUUGGGAGGACUGCUUCUAGCACUAAUAUUGUUGGAAGUUGACGUUACCUUCAGAAGAAGCACCGGCUAACUCCGUGCCAGCAGCCGCGGUAAUACGGAGAGUGCAAGCGUUAAUCGGAAUUACUGGGCGUAAAGCGCGCGUAGGCGGCUAGAUCAGUCGGGUGUGAAAGCCCCGGGCUUAACCUGGGAACUGCAUCCGAUACUGUCUAGCUGGAGUACAGGAGAGGAGAGUGGAAUUCCACAUGUAGCGGUGAAAUGCGUAGAUAUGUGGAGGAACACCAAUGGCGAAGGCAGCUCUCUGGCCUGAUACUGACGCUGAGGUGCGAAAGCGUGGGGAGCAAACAGGAUUAGAUACCCUAGUAGUC
rnacentral:rRNA from 1 species